GCAAGGGGGACUGCAUUUACCAUGCAAGUCGAACGGCAGCACGGACUUCGGUCUGGUGGCGAGUGGCGAACGGGUGAGUAAUACAUCGGAACGUGCCUAGUAGUGGGGGAUAACUACUCGAAAGAGUAGCUAAUACCGCAUGAGAUCUACGGAUGAAAGCAGGGGACCCUCGGGCCUUGUGCUACUAGAGCGGCUGAUGGCAGAUUAGGUAGUUGGUGGGAUAAAAGCUUACCAAGCCUGUGAUCUGUAGCUGGUCUGAGAGGACGACCAGCCACACUGGGACUGAGACACGGCCCAGACUCCUACGGGAGGCAGCAGUGGGGAAUUUUGGACAAUGGGCGAAAGCCUGAUCCAGCAAUGCCGCGUGCAGGAUGAAGGCCCUCGGGUUGUAAACUGCUUUUGUACGGAACGAAAAGCCUGAGGCUAAUAUCCUCGGGUCAUGACGGUACCGUAAGAAUAAGCACCGGCUAACUACGUGCCAGCAGCCGCGGUAAUACGUAGGGUGCAAGCGUUAAUCGGAAUUACUGGGCGUAAAGCGUGCGCAGGCGGUUUUGUAAGACAGUGGUGAAAUCCCCGGGCUCAACCUGGGAACUGCCAUUGUGACUGCAAGGCUGGAGUGCGGCAGAGGGGGAUGGAAUUCCGCGUGUAGCAGUGAAAUGCGUAGAUAUGCGGAGGAACACCGAUGGCGAAGGCAAUCCCCUGGGCCUGCACUGACGCUCAUGCACGAAAGCGUGGGGAGCAAACAGGAUUAGAUACCCUGGUAGUCCACGCCCUAAACGAUGUCAACUGGUUGUUGGGAAUUAACUUUCUCAGUAACGAAGCUAACGCGUGAAGUUGACCGCCUGGGGAGUACGGCCGCAAGGUUAAAACUCAAAGGAAUUGACGGGGACCCGCACAAGCGGUGGAUGAAUGUGGUUUAAUUCGAUGCAACGCGAAAAACCUUACCCACCUUUGACAUGGCAGGAACUUACCAGAGAUGGUUUGGUGCUCGAAAGAGAACCUGCACACAGGUGCUGCAUGGCUGUCGUCAGCUCGUGUCGUGAGAUGUUGGGUUAAGUCCCGCAACGAGCGCAACCCUUGCCAUUAGUUGCUACAUUCAGUUGAGCACUCUAAUGGGACUGCCGGUGACAAACGGAGGAAAGGUGGGGGAUGACGUCAAGUCCUCCUGGCCCUUUAUAGGUGGGGGUACCACGUCCUACAAUGGCUGGUGACAAAGGGUGGCCAACCCCCCAAGGGGGAGCUAAUCCCAUAAAAGCCAGUCUUAAUUCCCGAAUCCCAACCUUGCACUCCACCUGGCUGGAGUCCGGAAACCCUAAGAAACCGGGGAUCGAAAUUGCCCGGGGAAAAAAUUUCCCGGGCUUUGGAAAACCCGCCGUCACACAUUGGGAAAGGGGUCCGCCCAAAUAAGGAGCUAAAC
rnacentral:rRNA from 1 species